GACGAACGCUGGCGGCGUGCUUAACACAUGCAAGUCGAACGGAGAGGCCCUGCUUUUGUGGGGUGCUCGAGUGGCGGACGGGUGAGUAACACGUGAGUAACCUGCCCUUGACUUUGGGAUAACUUCAGGAAACUGGGGCUAAUACCGGAUAGGAGCUCCUGCUGCAUGGUGGGGGUUGGAAAGUUUCGGCGGUUGGGGAUGGACUCGCGGCUUAUCAGCUUGUUGGUGGGGUAGUGGCUUACCAAGGCUUUGACGGGUAGCCGGCCUGAGAGGGUGACCGGCCACAUUGGGACUGAGAUACGGCCCAGACUCCUACGGGAGGCAGCAGUGGGGAAUAUUGCACAAUGGGCGGAAGCCUGAUGCAGCAACGCCGCGUGCGGGAUGACGGCCUUCGGGUUGUAAACCGCUUUCGCCUGUGACGAAGCGUGAGUGACGGUAAUGGGUAAAGAAGCACCGGCUAACUACGUG
rnacentral:rRNA from 1 species